rnacentral:miRNA from 1 species
CUGUCGAGUUUUGUCAAGGACC